CCUCUGACUGAUGGCCCCACACUCGGCCCUGCCACCUGCUAAUGACUCCUGGGCUGACAGCCCAGCUCGGAGGCAGCAGGAUGUGGAACUAUGAAGGGGGUCUGCCUUUCUCCUUGUGAGUCCCUCUGACCCUCACAGUCCUGGAAAGGACUUGGCCUGAAAAUGAUGAUGCCCCCUAUGCUCCCUGGAACCAGCAGAGAACCCGAGAGAAACAAAGUCCUCUGUGAGGAAACAGAAGGGUGCUCCUCUUAAAUGAGCUGGUGGAUGCAAACCUGAGAGCAGGAAACUCCUCUGACAUGAGCACCAUAUCCUGCCAGUCCAUGAAGAAACUCUCCUCUCUCUUCAUCUCCACUCGCGAUAACUACAAAGGGAAGAACAAAAACUCAGAGACAUAAAAACUUUUACUUAAAGUCAUCCCCAACCUAACUUGGACAGACAGUUGAUGUGAAAUUCAUUUUGUGGCCAGCUUUCCAGUAGACUAUGAGCUCCUCAAGGCACAGUCCCUUCCAGGGUCCUGAGAAGAGCUCCAGCAAUUUCUUAUUAUUCAUUUUAUAUUUUUAAAAGAGUAUCCUCUACAUGGAAUGACCUCAAGCCCCACAAAACCUGGACCAGCCUCUGGCCCCAAGAUCCGGAGUUUUAAUAAGCUGGUCAGGUGAUUCCCAUAUGCCAAGAGGAUCAGGGAUCACUUGUUACUCAAAGUGCAAUUCACAGACCAGAAUUAUUAGCAUCAUGGAUGAGCAUGUUCAAAAUGCAAGGUCUCAGCCCUCCUGUCAGACCCACUGGAUCUGAGUCUCUAUUUUCACUGGAACUGUGGGCUGACUCACAUGAAAAAUAUCACAUUCAAAAUAAAGUUUGUGAAGUGCUGUGUUAGUA
ensembl:lncRNA